rnacentral:rRNA from 1 species
GAGAUUAGCAGUUGGUGGGGUAAAGGCCUACCAACCUACGAUCUAUAGCUGGUCUGAGAGGACGAUCAGCCACACUGGAACUGAGACCCACGGUCCAGACUCCUACGGGAGGCACAAGUGAGGAAUAUUGGGCAAUGGAGGCAACUCUGACCCAGCCAUGCCGCGUGAGUGAAGAAGGUUUUCGGAUUGUAAAGCUCUUUCGGAUGUGACGAUGAUGACGGUAGCAUCUAAAGAAGCCCCGGCUAACUUCGUGCCAGCAGCCGCGGUAAUACGAAGGGGGCGAGCGUUGUUCGGAAUUACUGGGCGUAAAGGGUGUGUAGGCGGUUAUGUAAGAUAGCGGUGAAAUCCCGGGGCUUAACCUCGGAAUAGCCGUUAUAACUAUGUAGCUAGAGUUAUGGAGAGGAUAGCGGAAUACCCAGUGUAGAGGUGAAAUUCGUAGAUAUUGGGU